AACGAACGCUGGCGGCAGGCUUAACACAUGCAAGUCGAACGCACCGUUCGGGGUGAGUGGCAGACGGGGGAGUAAGGGGUGGGAAUAUACCCUUAUCUACGGGAUAGCUCUGGGAAACUGGAAUUAAUAUCGUACACGUCCUGAGGGAGAAAGACUUAUCGGGGAAGGAGGAGCCCGCGUUGGAUUAGCUAGUUGGUGAGGUAAAGGCCAACCAAGGCGGCGAUCCAUAGCUGGUCUAAGAGGAGGAUCAGCCACAUUGGGACUGGGACACGGCCCAAACUCCUGCCAGAGGCGGCAAUUGGUAAUAUUUGACCACGGGCGCGAGGCUGAACCGGCCCUGCCGCGUGAGUGGUGAAGGCCCUAGGGUUGUAAUGCUCUUGGAAUGGGGACUAUAGUGACGGUACCCACAGAAGAAGCCCCGGCUAACUUCGUG
rnacentral:rRNA from 1 species